GACGAACGCUGGUGGCGUGCUUAACACAUGCAAGUCGAACGGUGAAGCCCAGCUUGCUGGGUGGAUCAGUGGCGAACGGGUGAGUAACACGUGAGCAACCUGCCCUCCACUUCGGGAUAAGCCUUGGAAACGAGGUCUAAUACCGGAUAUGAGCGCCUGCCGCAUGGUGGGUGUUGGAAAGUUUUUCGGUGGGGGAUGGGCGCGCGGCCUAUCAGCUUGUUGGUGGGGUAAUGGCCUACCAAGGCGUCGACGGGUAGCCGGCCUGAGAGGGCGCCGGGCCACACUGGGACUGAGACACGGCCCAGACUCCUACGGGAGGCAGCAGUGGGGAAUAUUGCACAAUGGGCGAAAGCCUGAUGCAGCGACGCCACGUGAGGGAUGACGGCCUUCGGGUUGUAAACCUCUUUCAGCAGGGAAGAAGCGCAAGUGACGGUACCUGCAGAAGAAGCGCCGGCUAACUACGUGCCAGCCGCCGCCGUAA
rnacentral:rRNA from 1 species